UUUUUUUUUUUUUCCUGUUUGUAUAGUUUUGUUUUUGUUUUUUUGAAAUAGGGUCUCUGUGGAAUUUGGUAUGUAGACUAGGCUGGCCUUGAACUCGAAGCAUGCCUGAGUUUUGGGGAAGGUUGGUUUUGUUUUUGUUUUGAGACAGAGUUGCUGUUAAGUUCAUCUAGGCUUUGCCCUCCAAAUCCUCCUAAGUGAGUCCCCCCACCACCACAACGUGUGUGUGUGUGUGUGUGUGUGUGUGUGUGUAAGUUUCUUUUGGAUGAUGAACUUCAGCCUUCUGACAGCUUUAUGUUUGAUCCUUUUGUACAUUUUGGCAUCAUCUCUUAAAAACUUUUGAUUGCCAGGUUCUGGCCAUCCUUCCUGUCAGUAUAUUGUAUUCACAGGAGAUACCAGAUAAUUUCUUGAAUACUCCGUGGGUUUUCUGGAUUGUUGAGCGGUUGCUGCAGCUUUUGGUGGGAAUUGGAUUUUCUAGUCUUUGCUGAGCAACCUCCUUAAUUGUCAGGAAAGGAGUUGUUCUACCUUCAUGACCAAGAAAAGAAAGAACAAAAAGAGCCAGGAACAAAGUUGAGAAUUAAGAGAUGGAGAGUUGAGACAGACUACAAAGGUUAAGAAAGAAAGGAGAGGAGAGGAGAAAAUGAUCCACAUCACAGCUGCCGGGUGAGGCAUCUUCAUUAUCCUCUUCUACAGCUCACUGACGAGCAUGGUAGGGAGCAUCUUUUUUCUUCCUGGUUCUGGGCAACAGAUAUUGAGGCUUAGAUAUCAGACGUGUAGAGGAACUGUUCCAAGUGGUUCUAGCUGGGCUGGGGAGAUGGCUCAGCAGUUAAGGCUGCUCUUCCAGAGGACUUAAGUUCAAUUCUCAACACCCAAAUGGUAGAUUACAUCUGUAAUUCCAGUUCUAAGGGAUCUGAUAUGGUCACACAGACAUACAUGUUAGUAAAAUACCAAUGCACAUAAAAUAAAAAUGAAUACAAUGCUGUAAUGGCUUAUGCUAUUAAUCCCAGAACUUGGAAGACAAAGAAAGGGGGGAUUUAUGGGAGUUCAUGAGGCCAGCCUGGUCUACGGAGUGAGUUUCAGGACAAUAGAAGCUACACAGGCUUCUGCCUUAAAGCAAAUUAAUAAAUCAUAAAGAAUCAAGUGGUUCUAAAACAAGGUAAGAGGUUGGAGAGAGUUAGCAAUAAUAAAGGAGAAAUGGGUUUGGUAUUACCUGUGAUAGCAGCACUUUGAAGGGUGGAGGUGACAACUUAGGCCACCUUGGGAUUCAUGAAACCCUGCCUUUUAAAAUAGGAACAAAACAAAACAGUAUUCUACAAUAGUGCAGGAGGGAGCAAGAAUAAGGAAGUAUGAUGACCAUGUCCUUACCGUGACUGUGACCAGUGUCCUCAUUGUUGUCUGCACUGUUGUGAGACAUGUGCGUGUUUCCUAUGAUUUAGAUACUGCUUGGUUCAUAGAAAACCUUAGAUGUGUAAUUUAAGUGAGCCUCAUGAACAGCUUUCUGUGAACAAAAGCUAUAUAUCUGCUCUACUUGUCAAGUUGAGCUGCAAUUUAAAAAAAAAGACAACAGAAACAAAAAACUAGCUUUAAUAAAGCCUAAGGUUUAAAAAAUGUUUUAAAUAUUUUGGGAUUUGAGAUCUUUUAUCUUUUUUUAAAUUGCAUGUGCAGGCAUGGUGAUGGAUACUUUUAAUGAAGUACUCGGGAGUCAGAGACAGGCUGAUCUUUGUGAGUUCCAGGCCAGUCUGGUCUACAGAGUGAUUUCUAGUUUAUCCAGGUCUGCAUAGUGAGACCUAUCUCAAAAAAUUACAUUUAUUUUCUCAUGUGCAUGCAUGCCAUGGGGUCAGUGUCUGUGGAGGUCAAAGGACUAUCAGAGGAAGUCAGUAAUCUACCCUGUGGGUCACAGAAAUCAAACUAGAUCCUAAGGCUGAAAGGCAAGGGCCUUUAUCCAGUGAGUCAAAUCACCAGCCUAGUCUUAGAAUUUGAAGUCUUUGGCAUACUGGGCGUUUAGUUGUAAUAGGGUCCUGGUGUUAGAGUGUAACUUAUAUAUGUUCUGACAGAAGCCUAGUAGUAAGAUUAACUUUUUUAAGAGUGAAAGGUGAGGCUGGAAAGAUGUCUUAGUGCUUAAGAGCACUGACUGCUCUUCCAGAGGUUCUGAGUUCAAUUCCCAGCAACCACAUGGUGGCUCACAACCAUCUGUAAUGGGAUCUGAUGCCCUCUUCUGGUGUGUCUGAAGACACAGUGUGCUCACAUACAUUU
rnacentral:lncRNA from 1 species